UGCAGUUAGCUGACAUCUUCACAAAACCAUUACCAAAAGAGAGGUUUUUCUUCUUAAGAAAUGAGUUAGGUAUUCUUGAUCUUAAUAAUCUCUCUUAAAUCUGUUUUUGGUACAUGUUAAAGUCUAUUUGUGAAGACAAAUAGGGGGAGAACUAUUGGUUCUUGUAUAUCUUUGUCUGGUAUUGCAUAAAAUGUUAAAAUCUCUGAUAUAAAAGUGUUUUCUG
rnacentral:lncRNA from 1 species